GGCGGUUUUGAGUCUUACCAAAGUCGAUUUUCAAAGUCUGAAAAUCAAAAUGGGUCCGGUAAUGAAUUUGUGCAAACUUCAAAAAGAGAAUUCUGUAACAGGGUAGUAUAUCGUGACUCAAAACCCGAAGUCUGAUGAUCGCAUGGACACUUCAGAAAAGGACUUAUCAACACAAAUGGAAGCCUUUGAAAAUGAGACAUUAAUGCUUAAUGCAACAUCGACUGUUAUUUAUUCGACACGGUUUUCGAACUAUGAUAGCGUUCGAUUAACACUGGAGAACAACCCGUAAGGAUUUAUAGUCUUAUACGCAAUAGAGAACGGCACAUUCGGGGGACAGACAAGAAAAAUGAUGGUGUGAAUACUGGUAGCAGCUCUUAUUGCACGUUAUAGUAACUGCUAGGUUAUUCAAUUAAAACUGAUUUUAUCUCUGAUAGAGGUUAUCCCCGCGAUGAAUCUAAGUGGAAUUUAGCUAAAGCAAUUAUUGCUGAGUUUCCAUUUUUAAAAAGCAAUUUGGAAAAAUCUAGAUGCGAGCAUUAUUUUGACUGACAAACUAGGAAAGUAUUUCUAGAAACACGCUUAUGGAAUGCUCGAAAGAAGAUACCCGAAUCUGACAAAAAUACUGCAAAACUAAAAAGAAGAAGCCCUGUCCUGAGUCAACCGAAAAGUACCCGGAUAUGAAAAUUCUGAAUGAAGAAGGUUUAAACUGCAAAGCAUAUUUAAUGGAAUACAAGAUGCCAAAUGAUGCAGAAAAAGAGAGCAUUAUCAUGUUGCUCAAACAAACUUUUAAGAAUAGGAGAGAGUGGAUUUUAAAGAAGUCAUCGACUAUCACAGAAAUUCGCGAGAAAUACCCUAGACUUUUUG